UAGGGAAUAUUGGGCAAUGGAGGAAACUCUGACCCAGCCAUGCCGCGUGAAGGAUGAAGGUCCUCUGGACUGUAAACUUCUUUUAUAAGGGAAGAAAAACCCCGAUUCAUCGGGGCCUGACGGUACCUUACGAAUAAGCACCGGCUAACUCCGUGCCAGCAGCCGCGGUAAUACGGAGGGUGCAAGCGUUAUCCGGAUUCACUGGGUUUAAAGGGAGCGUAGGUGGAUUGGUUAGUCAGUGGUGAAAGCCCCGAGCUCAACUCGGGAAUUGCCGUUGAUACUGCCAGUCUUGAGUACGGUUGAAGUGGGCGGAAUAUGUCAUGUAGCGGUGAAAUGCUUAGAUAUGACAUAGAACACCGAUUGCGUAGGCAGCUCACUAAGCCGUAACUGACACUGAGGCUCGAAAGCGUGGGGAUCAAACAGGAUUAGAUACCCCUGUAGUCC
rnacentral:rRNA from 1 species